rnacentral:rRNA from 1 species
AAGUAUAUGCAUAUUUUAUAUGUAGAAACUGCGAACGGCUCAUUAAAACAGUUAUAAUCUACUUGACAUUUUUUCUAUAAGGAUAACUACGGAAAAGCUGUAGCUAAUACUUGCUUUAGCACUCUUGAUUAAGUUCUUGAGUGUGUACUUGUUAAGCCUUUUAAGAGAAAAGUUAUUAACUUAAGGAAUUAUAACAAAGAAGUAACACGUAAAUGGAUUUUCCAUUUUUUAGUGUGUAUCAAUCGAGUUUCUGACCUAUCAGCUUUUGAUGUUAGGGUAUUGGCCUAACAUGGCUAUGACGGGUAACGGGGAAUUAGAGUUCGAUUCCGGAGAGGGAGCCUGAGAAAUAGCUACCACAUCUAAGGAAGGCAGCAGGCGCGUAAAUUACCCAAUUCUAAAGAAGAGAGGUAGUGACAAGAAAUAACAAUACAAGGCCAAUCUGGCUUUGUAAUUGGAAUGAUGGGAAUUUAAAACCUUCCCAAAACUCAAUUGGAGGGCAAGUCUGGUGCCAGCAGCCGCGGUAAUUCCAGCUCCAAUAGCGUAUAUUAAAAUUGUUGCAGUUAAAACGCUCGUAGUUGAAUUUCAAAGAAUCGAUAUUUUAAGUAACGCUUUGUAGAUUAAUCCACAUAACUGAUACUACGUAUCGACUUUGUGCGCAUUUUUCUACUUAUGUGUUCUUUUAAUUAAAAUGAUUCUUUUAAGAUCUUUCUUUUUUGCUUCGGCAUUUUAGGAGAUCUUGUUACUUUGAGUAAAUUAGAGUGUUCAAAGCAAACAGAUUAUAGCAUCUUUAUGCGUUUGAAUACUACAGCAUGGAAUAACAAAAUUGAACAAGUCAGAAUUUUGUUCUUUUUUCUUAUUUUGGCUUAGUUACGAUUAAUAGGAGUAGCUUGGGGGCAUUUGUAUUCAGAUGUCAGAGGUGAAAUUCUUAGAUUUUCUGGAGACAAACAACUGCGAAAGCAUUUGCCUAAAAUACUUCCAUUAAUCAAGAACGAAAGUUAAGGGAGUGAAGACGAUCAGAUACCGUCGUAAUCUUAACCAUAAACUAUGCCGACUAGGCUUUGGAUGAAAGAUUUUAAAAUAAGAGUUUUUUCUCUGAGGAGUUAAAACUCUUAGAUUGCUUCCUUCAGUGCCUUAUGAGAAAUCAAAGUCUUUGGGUUCUGGGGCGAGUAUUCGCGCAAGCGAGAAAGUUAAAAGAAUUGACGGAAGGGCACCACCAGGCGUGGAGCUUGCGGCUUAAUUUGACUCAACACGGGAAAACUCACUAGUUUAAGACAAGAGUAGGAUUGACAGAUUAAUAGCUCUUUCUUGAUUUCUUGGAUGGUGAUGCAUGGCCGUUUUUAGUUCGUGAAUAUGAUUUGUCUGGUUAAUUCCGAUAACGAACGAGAUCUUAACCUGCUAAUUAGCGGCAAAUACGAUAUAUUCUUAUGUGGAAUUGAAUAUAGUUGAUUUGCUUAUUUUGAAGAAAAUAUUGGGAUACGUAAAUGUAUCCCUUUCCCUUUUCUACUUAAUUUGCUUAUCAUACUAUUUCUUUUUUGCGUAAGAAUGUAUUUGCUUGAUUGUAAAGCUUCUUAGAGGAACGAUGUGUGUCUAACACAAG